GGGUUAAGUCCCAUAACGAGCGCAACCCUUACCGUUAGUUACCAUCAGGUUAAGCUGGGGACUCUAGCGGGACUGCCACCGUAAGGUGAGAGGAAGGUGGGGAUGACGUCAAAUCAGCACGGCCCUUAUGUCCAGGGCUACACACGUGUUACAAUGGCCAGUACAAAGGGCAGCUACCGGGUGACCGGAUGCUAAUCUCUAAGGCUGGUCUCAGUUCGGAUCGAAGUCUGCAACCCGACUUCGUGAAGCUGGAUUCGCUAGUAAUCGCGCAUCAGCCAUGGCGCGGUCGAAUACGUUCCCGGGCCUU
rnacentral:rRNA from 1 species